rnacentral:rRNA from 1 species
GAUGAACGCUGGCGGCGUGCCUAAUACAUGCAAGUCGAGCGAACGGACGAGAAGCUUGCUUCUCUGAUGUUAGCGGCGGACGGGUGAGUAACACGUGGAUAACCUACCUAUAAGACUGGGAUAACUUCGGGAAACCGGAGCUAAUACCGGAUAAUAUUUUGAACCGCAUGGUUCAAAAGUGAAAGACGGUCUUGCUGUCACUUAUAGAUGGAUCCGCGCUGCAUUAGCUAGUUGGUAAGGUAACGGCUUACCAAGGCAACGAUGCAUAGCCGACCUGAGAGGGUGAACGGCGACACUGGAACGGAGAAACGGUCCAGACUCCUACAGGAGGCAGCAGUAGAGAAUCGUCCGCAAUGGGCGAAAGCCUGACGGUGCAACGCCGCGUGAGUGAUGAAGAUCUUCGGAUCGUAAAACUCUGUUAUUAGGGAAGAACAUAUGUGUAAAUAACUGUGCACAUCUUGACGGUACCUAAUCAGAAAGCCACGGCUAACUGCGUG